UAACAUCUAUCAUGACAUUGCAUGUGAUACAUCAACUUUUCCCGCAGAUCCCACAUUAUCAUCUAGUAGAAGCAGCAAAAGCAGCUAAACCAGUACUAAGGAAGUGUUACAGGGAGCCUGAUAAGUCUGAACCUUUGCCAUUACAUUUACUGAGAAUCUUAGCAAAAGGUAUGAAAGAAGAUCAUUAUGUGAGGGAUGAAGGAGAUGUUGUAUACUAUAAAGCAGAUCCUAAUCUUUAUGGAGAGAUCAAGGUAACAGCAAGUUAAAAUGAAGCAGACAGAGAGGGAGAGAUAAGCUGUGAAACUUAUCCAUUUCUGACCAGCUGAAUUUUUUGCUUAUCAAUGUUAAUUUUUUUGUGUUACCACUAGAGAGUUAAUGUCUCUGAAUACAAUCAGAUUGAAACGACAAGUUUGUUUUCAAUAGACAAUACUGAAGCUAUAUAUACAAGAUACAUUGCAUUGUAUUAGAUUGACCAUUCUUAAGGUUAAUAUAUAUAUGGAUGCUUAAACCAAACAUUUUUUUUUUUUUUUUUAAAACCAAACAUUUUCAGUUUUUGUUAGUUUGUAUUUUAAGGUUAGUUUCAAUAAUAAUUUCGGGAUGAUGAAUCUUGCUCUGAAAAUAUACAUCAAAGCUAGCUAGAGCUACCCCCAAAUGUCGUAGCAGCAACUAAUAUUUGAUAUAUAUCUGCAUGCUGGUUUGAUGCUUCUUGAGGAUGUCUUAAGGUACUUCAAGUUAAUACGAAGGAAUAUGCCGUUGUGGCCGCUCAUGAUCAUUCAUUAAUCAGGCACUGUGAAUAUAUAUUCUCAGCCAGUCAGGAAAGCUUAAAGAGGCAUAUGAGCUUAUUAUACAUGUGGAGGUGGAACCUCAUGCUAGUAGUACAUGUGGUUCGCUAUUGAGUGGUUGUAGUGAAAACAUGGGACUAUACUGAGAUUGCACCAGUUGUUGCUAGGCAAGUCUUUGAGCUUGUCAGAAAAAGACCAAAGUGCUGGUAAGUCUUUUACUAUGCUUGCUUUUGGGUAGCUGUAGGCAAGUCUUGUUGCUUGUGGUCUUUCAAUAUGUAGUUGGUUACAUUUGUAAAUGUGCCUUCUAUAUUCAAUGAACCAUGUUUCCGUUAUUGGGAAGCCGACCUUCUAUUUAUGGAACAUGGUCAACCAACCAUUUUAUAAUACGAGUUUUGCCCAUAAUAUAUGAACUGAACCAUGUAAACUCUUAAACUCUGCUUAAUUGAUCUAAAAAGUAAUCUUGAAUUAACGAAUAUAGUUGGCAAGAUAAUAACUAAAAAAGUUUGAUUGGUUUGUUGAAUUUUCUGCGGGCGCCUACUUUGCUACAGCAUGCCACAAAAAAUAAUUAUCACUUACUUCCUUGAUUUUUUUUGUCUAAUUUUGUCAUAAGUUAAAUAAUUAUCAUUGCACUGGCAUAAAUAUGGAUGGUUAGUCACCGUCCACUGCUAAAACAGAUAUAAGGCACCGUCCAUUUACAUAGUUAAGAAAAUUAUUGAUACAUUACAAACUCAUUUUGCAGAUGUGCGUACUAUUCCAUGGAACACGAGUCUCAAUGUUACACAUGUUUAACAGAAGGACAACACAUAAAGGGUUGUUGAGACGACUUGGUGAUAUGAAGAGACGUUGCAUGCUCGUUUUUCAGAUGGUCCAGCUCGGUUUAAUAAGUUCGUAUCAACUUUAUUUAGGAGGAACGUCAGGGUAAACGUCAGUUGAAGGAAAAAAAAAAAAACUUUUUAC